rnacentral:lncRNA from 1 species
GCUGCAUUAUUUAAAGUACUAGCAAUUGACUAUGAUGCUUAAAAGAAAGAAGAGAAAACUCAAAUCACAACCCCCUCACAAACAAACACUUACUUUUCUAUAUUUUGAACGCUUUUCCGUGUCAUCCGAAACAUUCCUUGAUGCAACAGAAAGUCUCUGCGGAAUUUGCUUCCCAGAAAAUGAAAUCCUCUCAAUAGGCUUUGGCGUCGAAAGGUUUUGGGAUGUAGAACUGUCAUCUGUUUUUCCGUCAUUGUCCGUGAACAUGGAAAGCUUAACUCGCCUUUUACCUGAAGUAGUGCUAUCUACUGUCAUGUCAUCUGCUAUUUGCACUAUUUCACUUCCUGGUUUGUAGUCAUCGGUGGUAUAACCCUUGAUUGAGGUUGUAGCAGAUUCUGAACUAACAUCAGGUUGAUAAAAAGGAUGACGAGCCAAAGCAGACAGAACAGUGUCUCGACUUGAAGCAAGAAUACCAUGAGAACAAAGAGCCAAUUCACGCUGCAAGCAGAGAACAGAAGAAAAUGAUCAUGUGACAGUGACAGAACCACCAAAAAGGCCAAAUUGGCACAUCUUAUACACAAAAACAUAGCAGCACCAGUGAUAUACUUCUGUUGGAAGGAAAACUAGAAAGACAAGACAAAAGAUCAGUAUGGGGGAAGACAAUCAAGGUGGAGGCUCACUUUCAAUUUCUCUCGUUUGACAAUUCUUUCACAUAGAAGACGCAAUCUUUCCAAUUCAACCUGCAUAAAAUAAUCCAUAGUAUAAAGAGAACAAAUGCAUCAAAAUGAAAGAGUUCAUUGUAGCCACAAAAAGAUAACAAGCGAUAGAAUAACAUAAACCAACAUACACAGCUGAUUUGUAGUCGUUUUUAAAACAACAGAGCCAGCCAACCAAGAAAAUAAAACAAAGAAUAAGCAGGUAAAAGAUAGGUCUAUUUAAAUAAGAUGAAAGGCCAUAGAAACUGCCAUCCAUAAGAACACAACAAAUAACAUUGACAACUAAAUUAUUAACGACAGACACAAGAAAAACCGGCACAUUCAAUCUCUUCAUGGUCUAGAAACUCCAAACAAGAAGAGUAAUAUCAAUACUGUUAAUGCGUUCACAAGAUUAACAAAAAAAGGGGGAACGUACAGAUUUGGAUUCCGUCAAUAGAGAUUAAGAAUGCAUAAAAGAAAAAAGAUACAUGCACCUCCCUGAGGGUCAAUUGAAGGUAGACAAACGAAGGUUCUGAAAAUAACAUUGUCCUCCCCUCAGUGUUGAGAUGGAAUUAAAAAAAAAAUUCCAAAACAAUUCAUAAACCCUCUACCCUUUGCAUAAAAAGACCAAAAAAUCAAAAAAAAAAAAAAAGAGAGAGAGAAAAAGAACCACCAAUCUUUAUCUCCAAAGAUGAAAAAUUCAUACUCCCACCAAGCUAACUGCAACUGCUAUUGUCAUUUUUUUACCUUGUGCAGAAUCUUCAUAAUAAAUAUUGACAUUGUAAAGACAUGACCCAAUUGCAAAAGGAAACCCUAUCUUCUUCCUCUCAAUCUCCAUAAUUUCAAUCCAUGAUCUUCAUCAUGACGGGUUUGUGCCACCACUGCCAUUACAUAAACAAGCUUGAAGACCUGAAGCAGCACGGCAAUACCUUCCCACAGAUUUAUACAAUUACAAGCAUAGCUUCAAUUGCCUUUUCCAGCAAGGAAAAUAAAGAAACAAAAAUUUCGGUAAAAAGCAACCUAACUAGAGCAAAUUGAGAUACAUGCAAUGGCAAUACUUCCCUAACCCACUGUACAGUGUACGUCCUCAGACAACGCAUGUACAACAUUCCCCGUCAAGACGAGGGAGGCCAGCCAUUCUCGAGCACAGUACAUGUUAGUGCCAAGAAAGAGAACAUUCCACAAUGGGAAUUUCCCAACAUCCAGAAAUGCAUCUGGGAUUUCAAAGAAUCGAGCUAUCCAUUUUGUUCAACUGGUUCCUGCGAACUCAAAUCUGGAGUUGUCUCCUUGUCCUUAGGAAGGGACCGAAUUGGAACAUAAACAAAUCCUUUAGGUAGCCGCUGAUUCUUCAUAGAUGCUUGAUCUGAUGUCAUCACCAACUCUUUUGCCAAAGUUUCAGUAUGCUGCAUUAUUUAAAGUACUAGCAAUUGACUAUGAUGCUUAAAAGAAAGAAGAGAAAACUCAAAUCACAACCCCCUCACAAACAAACACUUACUUUUCUAUAUUUUGAACGCUUUUCCGUGUCAUCCGAAACAUUCCUUGAUGCAACAGAAAGUCUCUGCGGAAUUUGCUUCCCAGAAAAUGAAAUCCUCUCAAUAGGCUUUGGCGUCGAAAGGUUUUGGGAUGUAGAACUGUCAUCUGUUUUUCCGUCAUUGUCCGUGAACAUGGAAAGCUUAACUCGCCUUUUACCUGAAGUAGUGCUAUCUACUGUCAUGUCAUCUGCUAUUUGCACUAUUUCACUUCCUGGUUUGUAGUCAUCGGUGG